rnacentral:rRNA from 1 species
AUUGAACGCUGGCGGCAUGCCUUACACAUGCAAGUCGAACGGUAACGCGGGGCAACCUGGCGACGAGUGGCGAACGGGUGAGUAAUGCAUCGGAACGUGCCCAGUAGUGGGGGAUAGCCCGGCGAAAGCCGGAUUAAUACCGCAUACGACCUACGGGUGAAAGGGGGGGAUCGCAAGACCUCUCGCUAUUGGAGCGGCCGAUGUCAGAUUAGGUAGUUGGUGGGGUAAAGGCCUACCAAGCCGACGAUCUGUAGCUGGUCUGAGAGGACAACCAGCCACACUGGGACUGAGACACGGCCCAGACUCCUACGGGAGGCAGCAGUGGGGAAUUUUGGACAAUGGGCGCAAGCCUGAUCCAGCCAUGCCGCGUGCGGGAAGAAGGCCUUCGGGUUGUAAACCGCUUUUGUCAGGGAAGAAAUCUUCUGGGUUAAUACCUCGGGAGGAUGACGGUACCUGAAGAAUAAGCACCGGCUAACUACGUGCCAGCCGCCGCGGUAAAAC